AUCUUAUCAAGAGCAGGUGGAGGGACUAGCCCGAUGAAACCCGGCAACCGGCGAUCUUUGAUCGCAGCGGUGCUAAUUCUUGCAGAACCGAUUUCAAGCGAUGCUUGGCGGAUUCUGAGAGAUGAGAG
rnacentral:ncRNA from 1 species